GAGAGCACAAUACGAUGAAAGUUGUAAGCUGUGCUCAGGGGGGGGGGAGUUAUUGUCUAUCGUUGGCCUCUAUGGUAGAACCCGUCGAGGAGGCCUGAGAGGCGGUGGUUUACCCUGU
rnacentral:ncRNA from 1 species